rnacentral:lncRNA from 1 species
UGCAGAAGCUAAAUUUCUGAGUGUGAUAAGUUGCAGGGCUGAAAGGAAUGGUAAUUAGUAUUUCUCUCCUUCUUCUUCACUCUCUCUUUAAACAAAAUCCACACCAACCUCCUCAUAAUCCUUCUCAAGAUUAUGGAAUCUCAUAAAGGAUUUCUUAGGCCAUGCCCUCCCAGUCCUCAGAAAACUCUCCUUCCUCCGCAUCCUCACCCACAUACCAGUGAAUAAAAGCAUGCUGAACAUACAUCAAGUCAAACUUGUGGUCCAGGCAAGCCUAGGCUGCAGGAAUGGCGAUGGUGUUGCUCAGCAUGCACACAGUUUGCUGUACUGUGGCUAGGUCUCCACCAGGUACCAGUGGGAGGCUGGUAAUUAAUGCCAACUUUGAAGCCAAUGGGGCACCAGUCCACAAACUGGACGUUGUGCUUGGUCUUCAUGGUGGCAAUGGAAACAUCAACAUCUUUGAGAACCACAUCGUCAUGGUACAACAGGCAGAAAGCCACAUAUUUACCAUGAUGGGGGUCACAUUUCACCAUCUGGUUGGUUGGUUAAAACCAUGCAUUAGUGAUCUCUGCUGCAGAAAGAUGUUCAUGGUAGGUUUUCACAGCAGAGAUGACAAGAGCACAUGUGGCCAGGGGGAAGUGGAUGCA